AUACGGAGGGUGCAAGCGUUACUCGGAAUCACUGGGCGUAAAGCGCGCGCAGGCGGUCUUUUAAGUUGGAUGUGAAAGCCUACGGCUCAACCGUAGAACUGCAUCCAAAACUAUUAGACUAGAGUGUGGGAGAGGAAGAUGGAAUUAGUUGUGUAGGGGUAAAAUCCGUAGAGAUAACUAGGAAUACCAAAAGCUAAGGCAAUCUUCUGGAACACUACUGACGCUGAGGCGCGAAAGCGUGGGGAGCAAACAGGAUUAGAAACCCUUGUAGUCC
rnacentral:rRNA from 1 species